rnacentral:rRNA from 1 species
CAGUCGCCGCGGGAAUACAGAGGGUGCGAGCGUUAAUCGGAAUUACUGGGCGUAAAGCGCGCGUAGACGGUUUGGUAAGUCAGAUGUGAAAUCCCUGGGCUCAACCUGGGAACUGCAUUUGAUACUGCCUGGCUAGAGUAUCGAAGAGGGAAGUGGAAUUUCCGGUGUAGCGGUGAAAUGCGUAGAUAUAGGAAGGAACACCAGUGGCGAAAGCGACUUCCUGGUCGAAUACUGACGUUCAUGUGCGAAAGCGUGGGGAGCAAACAGGAUUAGAGACCCCCGUAGUCCCUGUCUCUUAUAC